CUAAGACAGGUGCCAGCAAGUCGUCAAAAAAAUAGCUUAAGUGGGACAGGCCUUUAAGACUGAGGGAAUGUAUGGAGA